rnacentral:rRNA from 1 species
GAUGAACGCUGGCGGCGUGCCUAAUACAUGCAAGUCGAGCGAACAGACGAGGAGCUUGCUCCUCUGACGUUAGCGGCGGACGGGUGAGUAACACGUGGAUAACCUACCUAUACGACUGGGAUAACUUCGGGAAACCGGAGCUAAUACCGGAUAAUAUAUUGAACCGCAUGGUUCAAUAGUGAAAGACGGUUUUGCUGUCACUUAUAGAUGGAUCCGCGCCGCAUUAGCUAGUUGGUAAGGUAACGGCUUACCAAGGCAACGAUGCGUAGCCGACCUGAGAGGGUGAUCGGCCACACUGGAACUGAGACACGGUCCAGACUCCUACGGGAGGCAGCAGUAGGGAAUCUUCCGCAAUGGGCGAAAGCCUGACGGAGCAACGCCGCGUGAGUGAUGAAGGUCUUCGGAUCGUAAAACGCUGUUAUUAGGGAAGAACAAAUGUGUAAGUAACUAUGCACGUCUUGACGGUACCUAAUCAGAAAGCCACGGCUAACUACGUG